GAGUUUGAUCCUGGCUCAGAACGGACGCUGGCGGCAUGCCUAACACAUGCAAGUCGAACGAGACCUUCGGGUCUAGUGGCGCACGGGUGCGUAACGCGUGGGAAUCUGCCCUUGGGUUCGGAAUAACAGUGAGAAAUUACUGCUAAUACCGGAUGAUGUCUUCGGACCAAAGAUUUAUCGCCCAGGGAUGAGCCCGCGUAGGAUUAGCUAGUUGGUGGGGUAAUGGCCUACCAAGGCGACGAUCCUUAGCUGGUCUGAGAGGAUGAUCAGCCACACUGGGACUGAGACACGGCCCAGACUCCUACGGGAGGCAGCAGUGGGGAAUAUUGGACAAUGGGCGAAAGCCUGAUCCAGCAAUGCCGCGUGAGUGAUGAAGGCCUUAGGGUUGUAAAGCUCUUUUACCAGGGAUGAUAAUGACAGUACCUGGAGAAUAAGCUCCGGCUAACUCCGUGCCAGCAGCCGCGGUAAG
rnacentral:rRNA from 1 species